GUCUACGGCCAUACCACCCUGAACACACCUGACUUCGUCUGAUCUCAGAAGCUAAGUAGGGUUGGUUGUGCCUCGUUAGUACUUGGAUGGGAGACCACCUGGGAAUACUGGGUACUGUAGGGG
rnacentral:rRNA from 1 species